AGAUUCAUCGCUCGUUUCCCUAUGGGGUCGAUUAUGAUCCAGCUCAACUCCAUGUCUUCCUCCAGAUCCCUGCAUGUGUCGUCCUUGUCCGAGUUUGGUAUCCGGGUGGAAACAGCUUCUUUGGGAUCUAAUAAAUCUACCCGAAACGGUGAGCAUUUGAACCAAGCGCUUACAGUUUCCGUUUCGACGACUUUGCUGAAAAUUUGCUCCUUCUUGUAAUAGAUAUCGACGGCCGAGAUUAUUUCCGUUGGAAGAUCAGGAGGAUUCUCCGACGAGUUUCCGAAGCUCACGGGUUCGAUAGUUAAUGGGAAGGCGUCGGAGAAGAAGGAGCGGGGACCGUUGUGGAAGUUAGAGAUGACGUGGCGAACACG
rnacentral:lncRNA from 1 species